rnacentral:rRNA from 1 species
UACGUAGGGGCAAGCGGUUGUCCGGAUUAUUGGGCGUAAAGAGCGUGUAGGCGGCCAUACAGGUCAGCUGUGAAAACUCGAAGGCUCAACCUCGAGACGUCGGUUGAAACCGUAUGGCUAGAGUCCGGAAGAGGAGAGUGGAAUUCCCGGUGUAGCGGUCGAAAUGCGCAGAUAUCGGGAAGAACACCCGUGGCGAAGGCGGC